CAAAAGAGCCUCAGUUCAUCUCCGGGCUCAGCGUCCUGGCACACCGCAGGAGAUAGAAAAGAGCCCCACAGGGGCAGGAGGGGGUGUGACAGAUAAUUAAGCCGGAAGGCAAGGCACAGGAAGCUUAAUUAGCAGCAUCCCCUCAUCUUGGCCUUGCCAGUCCUAGGGGUGGUUCUUGAGGCAGGAGUUUGAUUUGGAUGAGACUGAGCUGAGUGGUGCUGGAGGGAGGAGACAAGCGAGCAGCCCUAGCAGCUGCAAGGGGGAGAAUCCAGCGCUGCUCGGCUCAGAGGCCUCCCCUUGACGCCCUCCUGGGGGUCCCGCACAGCCCCCUGCUUUUAGGGGUGCAGCUUGAGGACUUGUCAGCCCCUAACUUCCAGCUGGGCUUAGUGCUGACUGCCUAACAAGAGGAACUCUUGGCCCUCAGCAGUGGUGAUGGCUGUCGCUGAGGGAGACCAGCCAGAGGAAGGACAUGUGCCAGCCCAUGGAAACGCCACAGCCAAAUCUGUGCUUCCACUGUUGAGAAAUCAUAUUGAAACUCUGCAAACGGACGUCAGGCCACUCGGGGAUGGACUCAGAUCCCCACAGCUGGUGAGGCCCAGCCGCUCCUCCCGGCCAGCUGGACUGCAUUUCCAACACCGCAGAGGCUAAGGACCCAUGUUUGGCCCAUGGGGAUGCGCCCACCGGGUCCUGGUCGGCGAGCUCUGCUACCCCCUCCCACGGCACCUUCGGGGGGUCUCUGUGCGGUGGACCUGGGGUCUGGUUCCAGAGCUCCCUCUCGCUCCUCUUCGUGGCUCUGCCCCACCCUGGGCCCUGGGUGCUGCUGCCACUGCCCACUCCCAGCUUGCUGGGAGCCCAGAAUCCUCAGGGUAGGGGGCUGGGGAUUUAGCUCAGUGGUUCCAGCGCCUGUUUCACAAGAGCAAGGAUCCGAGUUCAAUCCCCGGUAACAAAGAAAAAAAAAAAAAAAAAAAAAAAAGAAUCCUCAGGGUGGGCUCUCUUGCUGUGGGAGGGGUCCUAGACCUGGUCCCCGGAAUCCUAGUCCUCCUCCUGUCCAAGCCUGAAAGAGAGGUGCCCACAGGGCGCCCGCGACACCCAGUGAUGACAGGCUCAUUUGCCUCCACGGGGGCCCAAAGCUGCAAAGUACGGCCCUGGCACCAGCCCCCUGCCAUGUGCUCCUUAGGCCUAGGUGCCCAGGGACACGGAGCAGACCCUACUUGGCCCUCACGGACAGUGUCCGCAAGGCUGUGCAGCCUGGCCAAUGCCUGGGCCCUCGGGGAGAAGGCACUAUGGAGACAGCUCCCGGCUGAGCCUGGUGCUCAGGCGGCCUCAUGCUCGGCUGAGCACAUCCGAACAGCACUGAGCUGCUGACAGAGCGGGAGGUACCACUCUAUGGCACACGGAGGAAAUCAGUCUGUGCUGUGUGCCUCCCUGGCCUGGUGGAAAGACGGGGCCUGCCCAGGGUUCCCUCUCCUGCCCACAGCUGGGCCCAGAGAAACCCCCUGCCUCCGGGCCUUGCAGGAGCCAGGUGGCCCCAGCCCCUCUGAAGUCCCUGUGGCCUGGCAGGUGUAAGGCCACUCCACCUCCUUUUCCAACCUGUUUGUGGGGUGCAGGUUUCCAGGAACUGGGCCUGGAGAGUCGGGGGGGGGGUCCAGCCCAGCCACAGCCCCUCGAUGCUGUGCUGGUCCCAGGGAGCCCAUCACAAGUGUGUGGUCACCUUAGCAGGGCAGGUGUCGUGCCAAAGCCUGUCCCCAGUGUGCCCCCAGGCUAGGAGCUUUCCCGGAGCUGCAGUUCGACCCAGGCCCACCCAGCCUCAGCUGCAAGGACUAGCACCCCAAUUCCAC
rnacentral:lncRNA from 1 species